rnacentral:rRNA from 1 species
GACAUAGGUGGCAAACGUUAUCCGGAAUUAUUGGGCGUAAAGAGCUCGUAGGCGGUUUGUCGCGUCGUCUGUGAAAACCCACGGCUCAACUGUGGGCUUGCAGUCGAUACGGGCAGGCUAGAGUUCGGUAGGGGAGACUGGAAUUCCUGGUGUAGCGGUGAAAUGCGCAGAUAUCAGGAGGAACACCGGUGGCGAAGGCGGGUCUCUGGGCCGAUACUGACGCUGAGUGCGCGAAAGCCAGGGGAGCAAACGGG